rnacentral:rRNA from 1 species
AACAAGAAACACGGGAGCGGUUCCUCCUCACACUUUCCACGCAUGUCAUGCAUGCGAGGGGGCGUCCGUGAAUUUUACUGUGACCAAAAAAGUGCGACCAAAGCAGUCCGCCGACUUGAAUUACAAAGCAUGGGAUAACGAAGCAUCAGCCCUAGGGCCACCGUUUCGGCUUUUGUUGGUUUUAGCAGCCAUUGGGAGAUUAUGGGAGCCCGUGCCCGGGGCUAUGCCCACGCCUCAUGGCGUGCCUGGCAUAUUCGCCCCUUCUCCCCCCUGCGCGCCUCCCCUGGUGGGGAGAGUGUGGUGGGGGGGGAGACGCGCGGUUCCCAGGAAUGAAGGAGGGUAGUCCGGGGGAGAACGUACUGGUGCGUCAGAAGUGAAAUUCUUAGACCGCACCAAGACGAACUACAGCGAAGGCAUUCUUCAAGGAUACUUUCCUCAAUCAAGAACCAAAGUGUGGGGAUCAAAGAUGAUUAGAGAUCAUUGUAGUCCACACUGCAAACCAUGACACCCAUGAAUUGGGGAGCGCUACUGUGGUUCCCCGUGCUUCGGCGUCUUCGUGACGCCGUCUCACGGUCCCAGUACUUAACAUUUACGUGCCUAUUCUUAUAUUCCGCCUGGCGUGCUUCGUUGUACGCCAUGGCGGUUCUUACGGGAAUAUCCUCAGCAC